GUGAAUUAAACAUGCUUGGUGUCUUCGCUUCGGCAAGGCCCUUGCUUAAAUCACAUCCUAACACCUGUGAACUGUAAGACGUAUGAUGAGGUCUUUGGCCAAGUCAUCGUCUGCCCAUUUUUAACAAACAAUUAAUGUAACAAACGUAGUCUUAUUAUAAACCUAAUA
rnacentral:misc_RNA from 1 species